CUAUGAAAACCUUCUGUUUUUACACCUCCUCAGAGCUCCCCUCUGCUUGCUAGAUGGGACGCUGCCCCACUCAUGAAUCAUUUAAUAAAGACAAUUAGAUCUUCAGAUUUCCUCGACCGACUUUUUGUUCUUUGACAACAGUGUACUUAUGACGAAGAACUUGAACUCAGAAGACAUGAUUUGCCCAAGGUUACCCGACUUGCAGAAGGAACCUCAUGCUUUGUUUCUGCUCCAGUCCAGUGUCUUCUCAAAUGCUCCGCUUUGCCUUUUAACUAAAUAAUGGCUUUCCACCAUUUCACUUAAUAAAGUACUCUGCCACAGGCA